UCGCAAGUGAGGUAAUCUUCACACAACCCAUGUAAUACAUAAGGGAAAGAGAUACAUAGUUGGCUUACAAUCGCCACUUCACCCAAUUACAUGAAUAAAGCAUUACAUCAAACAAUACAAUCAAGGUCCGACUACGGAACCAAAAUAAAAGAAGACUACCCCAAAUGCUACACAGAUCCCCGAUCGACCCCAACUGGGCUCCUCUACUGAUCAACUGGAAACAGAACAACAUAAAGGACAAGAUCAUCAUCGAGCUCCUCCUUGAGCUUGGUUGCGUCAUCUGCACGGUUCAACGGCACCUGCAAACUGGUUUUGGAAGUAUCUGUGAGUCAUGGGGACUCAGCACUCUCACACCCUCGCGAUCAAGACUAUUUAAGCUUAUGGGUAAGGUAAAAUGUAUGAGGUGAAGCUGCAACAAGCGACUAGCAUAUAUGGUGGCUACACAUACGCAAAUAAGAGCGAGAAGAGAAGGAAAAGCACCAUCGAGAAACUAUGAUCAAGAAGUGAUCCUAGAACAACCUACGCCAAACAUUACUCCAACACCGUGUUCACUUCCCGGACUCUGCCGGAAAGAGACCAUCAUGGUUACACACGCGGUUGAUGCAUUUUUAAAUAAGGUCAAAUUCAGGUUUUCUACAACCGGACGUUAACAAAUUCCCAUCUGCCCAUAACCGUGGGCACGGCUUUCGAAAGUUCAAAUCCCUGCAGGGGUGUCCCAACUUAGCCCAUCACAAGCUCUCACGGUCAACGAAGGAAUAGACCUCCUCCCGAGACAUUCCGAUCAGACUCGGUAUCCCGGUUCUACAAGACAUCCUCGACAAUGGUAAAACAAGUCCAGCAACACCGCCCGAAUGUGCCGACAAAUCCCGAUAGGAGCUGCACAUAUCUCGUUCUCAGGGCACACUCAGAUGAGCAGUCCGUACAACUAAAACCAGCCCUCGAGUUCCCCGAGGUGGCGCUGCAAGGGGCUCUAGUUUGGACCAACACUUAGAGGAGCACUGGCCCGGGGGGUUAAAAUAAUGAUGACCCUCAGGAGCGCGACUCCCAAGGGAAAAAGAGGCUAGGUGGCAAAUGGUAAAACCAAUGUUGGGCAUUACUGGAGGAGUUUUAUUCAAAGCAAACUGUCAAGGGGUUCCCAUUAUAACCCAAUCGCGUGAGGAACGCAAAAUCCGGGAACAUAACACUAAUAUGACAGAAACUAGGGCGGCAAGAGUGGAACAAAACACCAGGCAUAAGGCCGAGCCUUCCACCCUUUACCAAGUAUAUAGAUGCAUUAAUUUAAUAAGAUAUAUUGUGAUAUCCCAACAUAUAAGCAUGUUCCAACAAGGAACAACAUCUCCAUGUUCCAACAAGGAACAAACUUCAAUCUUCACCUGCAACUAACAAUGCUAUAAGAGGGGCUGAGCGAAGCGGUGACAUAGCCAAUCAACGAUUUGCUAGGACAAGGUGGGUUAGAGGCUUGGUUCAACAAUAUGGGUGGCAUGAUAAGCAAGUGGUAGGUAUCGCAGCAUAGGCAUAGCAAAAGAGCGAGCAACUAAGCAAGCAAAGAUAGAAGUGAUUUCGAGGGUAUGAUCAUCUUGCCUGAGAUCCCGCAAGGAAGACGAACGAGUCCAUGAAGAAGACAAACGGAUGUAGUCGAAUGAAUCCUCACAACACGACGUUAUCGGAACCAACC
rnacentral:lncRNA from 1 species